AGAGUUUGAUCCUGGCUCAGGACGAACGCUGGCGGCGUGCCUAACACAUGCAAGUCGAGCGGAGACAGUGAGUAGCUUGCUAUGAGCUGUUUUAGCGGCGGACGGGUGAGUAACGCGUGAGCAACCUUUCCCAGACAGGGGAAUAACACACCGAAAGGUGUACUAAUACCGCAUAAGACCACGGGAUCACAUGGUUCUGGGGUAAAAGAAUUAUCGGUUUGGGGUGGGCUCGCGUCCGAUUAGGUAGUUGGUGAGGUAACGGCCCACCAAGCCGACGAUCGGUAGCCGACCUGAGAGGGUGAUCGGCCACAUUGGGACUGAGACACGGCCCAAACUCCUACGGGAGGCAGCAGUGGGGAAUAUUGGGCAAUGGAGGAAACUCUGACCCAGCAACGCCGCGUGGAGGAAGAAGGUUUUCGGAUCGUAAACUCCUGUCCUUGGAGACGAGUAGAAGACGGUAUCCAAGGAGGAAGCCCCGGCUAACUACGUGCCAGCAGCCGCGGUAAUACGUAGGGGGCAAGCGUUGUCCGGAAUAAUUGGGCGUAAAGGGCGCGUAGGCGGCUCGGUAAGUCUGGAGUGAAAGUCCUGCUUUUAAGGUGGGAAUUGCUUUGGAUACUGUCGGGCUUGAGUGCAGGAGAGGUUAGUGGAAUUCCCAGUGUAGCGGUGAAAUGCGUAGAGAUUGGGAGGAACACCAGUGGCGAAGGCGACUAACUGGACUGUAACUGACGCUGAGGCGCGAAAGUGUGGGGAGCAAACAGGAUUAGAUACCCUGGUAGUCCACACUGUAAACGAUGAAUGCUAUGGUGAAGGGGGUCUCUACCCCUUCUGUGCCGCACCCAACACAAUAA
rnacentral:rRNA from 1 species